CAGGCUUAACACAUGCAAGUCGAGGGGCAGCAUUUCAGUUUGCUUGCAAACUGGAGAUGGCGACCGGCGCACGGGUGAGUAACACGUAUCCAACCUGCCGAUAACUCGGGGAUAGCCUUUCGAAAGAAAGAUUAAUACCCGAUGGUAUAAUCAGACCGCAUGGUCUUGUUAUUAAAGAAUUUCGGUUAUCGAUGGGGAUGCGUUCCAUUAGGCAGUUGGUGAGGUAACGGCUCACCAAACCUUCGAUGGAUAGGGGUUCUGAGAGGAAGGUCCCCCACAUUGGAACUGAGACACGGUCCAAACUCCUACGGGAGGCAGCAGUGAGGAAUAUUGGUCAAUGGGCGCAGGCCUGAACCAGCCAAGUAGCGUGAAGGAUGACUGCCCUAUGGGUUGUAAACUUCUUUUAUAUGGGAAUAAAGUUUUCCACGUGUGGAAUUUUGUAUGUACCAUAUGAAUAAGGAUCGGCUAACUCCGUGCCAGCAGCCGCGGUAAUACGGAGGAUCCGAGCGUUAUCCGGAUUUAUUGGGUUUAAAGGGAGCGUAGGUGGACAGUUAAGUCAGUUGUGAAAGUUUGCGGCUCAACCGUAAAAUUGCAGUUGAUACUGGCUGUCUUGAGUACAGUAGAGGUGGGCGGAAUUCGUGGUGUAGCGGUGAAAUGCUUAGAUAUCACGAAGAACUCCGAUUGCGAAGGCAGCUCACUGGACUGCAACUGACACUGAUGCUCGAAAGUGUGGGUAUCAAACAGGAUUAGAUACCCUGGUAGUCCACACAGUAAACGAUGAAUACUCGCUGUUUGCGAUAUACAGUAAGCGGCCAAGCGAAAGCAUUAAGUAUUCCACCUGGGGAGUACGCCGGCAACGGUGAAGCUCAAAGGAAUUGACGGGGGCCCGCACAAGCGGAGGAACAUGUGGUUUAAUUCGAUGAUACGCGAGGAACCUUACCCGGGCUUAAAUUGCAUUUGAAUAUAUUGGAAACAGUAUAGCCGUAAGGCAAAUGUGAAGGUGCUGCAUGGUUGUCGUCAGCUCGUGCCGUGAGGUGUCGGCUUAAGUGCCAUAACGAGCGCAACCCUUAUCUUUAGUUACUAACAGGUCAUGCUGAGGACUCUAGAGAGACUGCCGUCGUAAGAUGUGAGGAAGGUGGGGAUGACGUCAAAUCAGCACGGCCCUUACGUCCGGGGCUACACACGUGUUACAAUGGGGGGUACAGAAGGCAGCUACCUGGUGACAGGAUGCUAAUCCCAAAAGCCUCUCUCAGUUCGGAUCGAAGUCUGCAACCCGACUUCGUGAAGCUGGAUUCGCUAGUAAUCGCGCAUCAGCCAUGGCGCGGUGAAUACGUUCCCGGGCCUUGUACACACCGCCCGUCAAGCCAUGAAAGCCGGGGGUACCUGAAGUACGUAACCGCAAGGAGCGUCCUAGGGUAAAACUGGUAAUUGG
rnacentral:rRNA from 1 species